rnacentral:lncRNA from 1 species
GUCGCCCAGACUGGAGAGCAGUGGCGCGAUCUCGGCUCACUGCCAUCUCUGCCUCCCGGGUUCCAGCGAUUCUCUUACCUCAGCCUCCCGAGUAGACUAGCUGGGAUUACGGGCGCGUGCCACCACGCCCGGCUAAUUUUUCUUUUUUUGAGACGGUGUCUCGCUUUGUCGCCCAGGCUGGAGUGCAGUGGCGCGAUCUCUGCUCACUGCAAGCUCCGCUUUCCGGGUUCACGCCAUUCUCCUGCCUCAGCCUCACGAGUAGCUGGAACUACAGGCGCCCGCCACCGCGCCCAGCUAAUUUUUUGUAUUUUUAGUAGAGACGGGGUUUCACUGUGUUAGCCAGGAUGGUCUCGAUCUCCUGACCUUGAUCCACCCGCCUUGGCCUCCCAAAGUGUUGGGAUUACAGGUGUGAGACACCGCGCCCGGCCCAGACGUGGGGGAAGUUUUAAAGCUUACCAAAUUUAUCUGCUUUCUUGGACUCCGUACUGUUGGUGUAACCAAGGCCUGGAGGUCUGGGUGGCUCAGGUUUCCUGCAGCCAUGUUUCUGUACA